CGGCAGGAAGAACCAGAGACAUUUCCCUGGAGGGAAGGGGCCCCAGGAUGCAGUCCGCAGCGCCCGCUCUCUUGUGCACAGUGGUGGCCUUCAUCCUCUUUGGUUCCAGCAAUACGCAGAGUGUCACACAAUCUCCAAGUUCAAUGCAUAGAAAAAAGGGAGAAUCUGUGACCUUGGAAUGCCGUUUCACAGUCAGCUAUACUUACUAUGUGAUGAGCUGGUUUCGACAGCUCCCCAAUGGAAAGAUGACUGAGAUCAUUUAUAUUUAUUCUGAUAGCACGAGUAAUAGGCAAGGACGAUAUUCUGUAUCACAUCAGAAAGGAAACAAAGCUGUAAGUCUCACCAUCCCAGACUUGAGGCAUACAGACUCAGGCACCUAUUUCUGUGCUGUUGGAGAAACUCCACGGUGAGAGGAGGGACAGAGUGAGCCUUACAAAAACCCCCUGGGCUCAGCAUGAAUCAGCCACCUGCUCUAGGCUUAGGAGAAAACAACCACAGGACAAAAAAGGGUAUACAGAAGGCAUGGUGGGUGCCACUCAUCAGUCUAG